rnacentral:rRNA from 11 species
GCUAACGUCCGUCGUGAAAAGGGAAACAACCCAGACCGUCAGCUAAGGUCCCAAAGUCAUGGUUAAGUGGGAAACGAUGUGGGAAGGCUUAGACAGCUAGGAGGUUGGCUUAGAAGCAGCCACCCUUUAAAGAAAGCGUAAUAGCUCACUAGUCGAGUCGGCCUGCGCGGAAGAUGUAACGGGGCUCAAACCAUGCACCGAAGCUACGGGUAUCACCUUUUGGUGAUGCGGUAGAGGAGCGUUCUGUAAGCCUGUGAAGGUGAGUUGAGAAGCUUGCUGGAGGUAUCAGAAGUGCGAAUGCUGACAUGAGUAACGACAAUGCGAGUGAAAAACUCGCACGCCGAAAGACCAAGGUUUCCUGCGCAACGUUAAUCGACGCAGGGUUAGUCGGUCCCUAAGGCGAGGCUGAAAAGCGUAGUCGAUGGAAAACAGGUUAAUAUUCCUGUACUUCCAGUUAUUGCGAUGGAGGGACGGAGAAGGUUAGGCCAGCCUGGCGUUGGUUGUCCAGGUUUAAGGUGGUAGGCUGGAAUCUUAGGCAAAUCCGGGAUUCUAAGGCCGAGAGCUGAUGACGAGUUGCCAUUAGGCGACGAAGUGGUUGAUACCAUGCUUCCAAGAAAAGCUCCUAAGCUUCAGAUAACUGGGAACCGUACCCCAAACCGACACAGGUGGUUAGGUAGAGAAUACCAAGGCGCUUGAGAGAACUCGGGUGAAGGAACUAGGCAAAAUGGCACCGUAACUUCGGGAGAAGGUGCGCCGGCGAGGGUCAAGGACUUGCUCCGUAAGCCCAUGCCGGUCGAAGAUACCAGGCCGCUGCGACUGUUUAUUAAAAACACAGCACUCUGCAAACACGAAAGUGGACGUAUAGGGUGUGACGCCUGCCCGGUGCCGGAAGGUUAAAAGGAGGUGUGCAAGCACCGAAUUGAAGCCCCGGUAAACGGCGGCCGUAACAAUAACGGUCCUAAGGUAGCGAAAU